ensembl:lncRNA
CUCCUCCUUUCCCCCCACCCCAUCCAUCUAGGUCAUCACAGAGCACCAGGCUGAGCUCCCUGUGCUCAAUAGCAGCUUUCCGCUCGACGUCAGUCCCGCGUACGGUCCUCGGCUGCUCAGUCCGCUCGGCCGGCACUUUGCAGCCUCAAGCCCUGGAUGGUCUCAACAGCUGAACUCAGAAUUUCUACAUCUGCUCCCUGGGCCCGGAGGUUCAGAUUCUCCUUGCUGUGCUCAACUGCAGAGUGUACGGACGAGAGAGAGGACACAGAGUUUAAGCGUCCACAGUUAAUCAGCAUUCCACCUGGGGAGAUAACUUCUUCAUGCUAGCCACUCCAUCUCUGAGCAGAAAAAUAAUGUCCUUCUUCCGACAAUUGGCAUGCUGAAAUACCCUUGGGGGGCUUGUACUUUCCACCCAUCACUGAGGCAGAGUUUGGAGGUUUGCAGAAUGGAGUAGAAGAUUCCAGCUUUUCCAUGACUGUUCAGGAGAGUGAGAAUUACAAAUUUUCCUGAGAUUUAUAGAGGUAAAAGGAAACUCGAAGGCAGAUAUGUUCCACCAUUCAGUACUCAGGAAAUUCCAAAUUCGGAGCGCUCUGUGCCAGGAAUUGGAGGAGACCAAACACACGUAUCUUAUUAUAAGUCACAAACGGGCUCCACCGUCUCCUGUGUCCCUCCUGUACCUAGCCCAUCCACUUCCUUCAUCUCAACCCCCAACCUCGCCCCAGGCUGCAGUGGACCCUUCAUCUAUGUCAUCUAGGAUGAGCACCAGAUUCAAUGAGGGGCUAAAAAACCUGGAAAACCUUCAUCAUUGUAGAGGAUAUAGCUUCUUAACGAUGGAAAGAUUGAUUUUGGUUGUAUUCCAAAAG